GCAGGUACAGAGGGAUGCUACCGGGCGACCGGAUGCGGAUCUCGAAAGCCUGUCCCAGUUCGGACUGGAGUCUGCAACCCGACUCCACGAAGUUGGAUUCGCUAGCAAUCGCGCAUCAGCCAUGGCGCGGUGAAUACGUUCCCGGGCCUUGUACACACCGCCCGUCAAGCCAUGGGAGCCGGGGGCGCCUGAAGUCCGGGACCGCGAGGACCGGCCUAGGGCGAAACUGGUAACUGGGGCUAAGUCGUAACAAGGUACC
rnacentral:rRNA from 1 species